rnacentral:rRNA from 1 species
GCAAGUCGAACGGAAACAGGACGCUGUGAUCUCUUCGGAGUGAACUUGUCGCUGUCGAGUGGCGGACGGGUGAGUAAUGCAUAGGAAAUUGCCUUGAAGUGGGGGAUAGCCCGGAGAAAUCCGGAUUAAUACCGCAUGUGCUCUACGGAGCAAAGUGGGCCUCUGAUUUAAGCUCAUGCUUUGAGAUAUGCCUAUGUCGGAUUAGCUUGUUGGUGGGGUAAAAGCCUACCAAGGCGACGAUCCGUAGCCGACCUGAGAGGGUGAUC